GGGGAUUUAGCUCAGUGGUAGAGCACUUGCCUAGCAAGAGCAAGCCCUAGCAAGGCCCUGGGUUCGGUCCCCAGCUCCG
rnacentral:tRNA from 1 species